GAGUCUUGUGAUUUAGAAGGUUAACAUAUUCCGAAUACAUUUUGGGCGGCUUUCAACCAAUUUGACAUGUUUCCAUUCAAAGCUAAAAAGAUAACUCUACGAACCCGUUUGAAAAAAAAAAAAAAAAAAAAAAAAAGUAAAGCCUGAAUCAACUCAUUUAUCCAUAAAGGGUCGAACUGCCACCUGUAUAGAAAAAAAGUAAAAUCACCUGUGGCCAUGUAUUCAGGAGCUGCAUAGCCUUGGGUACCCAUUACCCGUGUAGAGACAUGACUUUGACCAUCAGCCGGGCCAUCUUUCGCCAACCCAAAAUCAGAUAGCUUUGCGUUGUAAUUCUGAAAGCAAGUAAAAGUUAAAUAUGUAAAAACACCUGAAAAAAACAGCUAAAUAAAGUGAGAACUAUCAUGAAAUGAAUAUCAAUUUGAGACAUACAGAAUCGAUUAAUAUAUUGGAAGACUUGAAAUCACGAUAUAUAACUUUCGCUUCAGGACUAUGUAAGUAUGCAAGUAGAUAAUGGCAUAAGUGAGUUAUAAGAAGGGGUGUUAAAUUAGUCGUGCCCGUGGGUUGGCGGGUCGCACCUGACACGACCUCGAAAAUCAUGUCGGACACAUGAACCUGAACACGACGCGACCUUUUUCGGCUUAACAUGAACUCGAUCUGUUUAACUCGAAAUUUUUAUUUUACUUUUUUUGCAUAUUAACACUCUAAAAUUACACAUUUACAACCAAAAAUACGAAAUGUA
rnacentral:lncRNA from 1 species